UACAACUUUCAACAACGGAUCUCUUGGUUCUGGCAUCGAUGAAGAACGCAGCGAAAUGCGAUAAGUAGUGUGAAUUGCAGAAUUCAGUGAAUCAUCGAAUCUUUGAACGCACAUUGCGCCCCUUGGUAUUCCAUGGGGCAUGCCUGUUCGAGCGUC
rnacentral:rRNA from 1 species